rnacentral:rRNA from 1 species
UGGGGAAUAUUGCGCAAUGGGCGAAAGCCUGACGCAGCGACGCCGCGUGGGGGAUGAAUGCCUUCGGGUUGUAAACCCCUUUCGGCAGGGACGAAGCGAACGUGACGGUACCUGCAGAAGAAGUCCCGGCUAACUACGUGCCAGCAGCCGCGGUAAGACGUAGGGGACGAGCGUUGUCCGGAUUCAUUGGGCGUAAAGCGCGCGUAGGCGGUUACGCAAGUCGGUUGUGAAAAUCCGGGGCUCAACCCCGGACCUGCAUCCGAUACUGCGUGACUAGAGGUAGGUAGGGGAGAUCGGAAUUCCUGGUGUAGCGGUGAAAUGCGCAGAUAUCAGGAGGAACACCGGUGGCGAAGGCGGAUCUCUGGGCCUUACCUGACGCUCAGGCGCGAAAGCUAGGGGAGCGAACAG